UACGGGGGGCCUUGGGGAGGGGUGUGCUGGUGGGGAGUGGGGGUGGACAGAGACAGGUGUGUUGCAGACCCUCCAGCAUUUCUGCUUCCAGGUAAAACCUGCACGUGUGAGGAAUGUGUGGCAUUGUAAUGUCAGUCCUCCCUUCAGUUGCUGUCACUUGAAAGAAAAUGUGUUUGUUUAACAAACAUAAAUUGAGUGCCUACUGUGUACCCACACUUCUAGAUCCUGCUGUUGCUGCAGCCACAGCUGUGAUUAGGGCAAGUCUCAGCUCCCCUGGAGUGAGUGCUCCUGUGGGCCAUCAGGUGACAUGGGGACAGAUGCCACAGGGGAGUGUAGAGGAGGGGCCAGGGAGCGCUGUGGGAGCGAGGCUCUCUGAGAAGGCGAUGCGUGAGCCAAGGCCCAGGGUUGGGGUGGGGUGGCACCUGGGUGAGUGGAUCAGGUAGGGAGGCAGCUGGGCUGGCAUGGGAAUGAGGCAGGAGGCCCAGCCAUGGGGAACUGGAGGUCCUGCCUUUUUGAGACGGAAGCCACUGAACAGGUGAGGACUGAAGUUUAGAGUUUGGAUGGUUUACUGCCUUUGAUUGGCACACAGCCGCCAGUGUGUGUGCGUUGUGUGUGUGCAAUGGUGAGGCCACUGUGCACCCGGUGGCUGGCUUCUCAUGAGUUUAACACACACUCACCACACCAGUCAGCCCUCACGUCUUUACCCUGGAUCCUUUUCGAGAAAGGAUCUGGAAAGUAAACAUUUUAGACUUUGAGGGCCACAGUCACUGUCCAUGUUCCUCUCUGUGGUUGUCCUGCCAGACACACACCAUGAGUUUACAAAGACAGGCGGUGGAUGGAUGUGGCCUGGGGCCUGUUUGCCAAUGCCAGCCCCAGAAAAUAAAACUUAUGUUUGCAUAAAUACCUAUACACAGAUAUUUCUACCCAGGCAUAAUCACCAAGUGCUGGAAGCAACACAAGCGUCCUUCAAUGGUGAACGGAUGGCAGGGCCCCCAGAAGACCACAGGAAAGUCGUGUAGAGAAGACGUUCAGAUGGGGCGUCAGAUGUGGGGGAGAACGAGCUGGAGAUGGACACGGACAUGGAGGUGUGGAUGGCCCUGGGGAGGCCCCCUGGCAGCUGGUGGAUGGCAGGAGCGGCGUGGACAGCAGGAGCAGCAUGAACUGCAGGAGCGGCACGGGAUAAGAGAGGUAGGAAGCUGGGAGCGGGAGGGGCUGUGUAAAGGAAACAACAGGAGGAGUAGCCCCCCAGGGCCUGUGACCACAA
rnacentral:lncRNA from 10 species